rnacentral:rRNA from 1 species
AGUCGANCGGGAAUCUUCGGAUUCUAGUGGCGGACGGGUGAGUAACGCGUAAGAAUCUAACUUCAGGACGGGGACAACAGUUGGAAACGACUGCUAACACCCGAUGUGCCGAAAGGUGAAACCUAAUUGGCCUGAAGAAGAGCUUGCGUCUGAUUAGCUAGUUGGUGGGGUAAGAGCCUACCAAGGCGACGAUCAGUAGCUGGUCUGAGAGGAUGAGCAGCCACACUGGGACUGAGACACGGCCCAGACUCCUACGGGAGGCAGCAGUGGGGAAUUUUCCGCAAUGGGCGAAAGCCUGACGGAGCAACGCCGCGUGAGGGAGGAAGGUCUUUGGAUUGUAAACCUCUUUUCUCAAGGAAGAAGUUCUGACGGUACUUGAGGAAUCAGCCUCGGCUAACUCCGUGCCAGCAGCCGCGGUAAUACGGGGGAGGCAAGCGUUAUCCGGAAUUAUUGGGCGUAAAGCGUCCGCAGGUGGUCAGCCAAGUCUGCCGUCAAAUCAGGUUGCUUAACGACCUAAAGGCGGUGGAAACUGGCAGACUAGAGAGCAGUAGGGGUAGCAGGAAUUCCCAGUGUAGCGGUGAAAUGCGUAGGGAUUGGGAAGAACAUCGGUGGCGAAAGCGUG